ACGGGUGAGUAACGCGUGGGAAUCUACCCAUCUCUACGGAAUAACGCAUGGAAACGUGUGCUAAUACCGUAUACGUCCUUCGGGAGAAAGAUUUAUCGGAGAUGGAUGAGCCCGCGUUGGAUUAGCUAGUUGGUGGGGUAAAGGCCUACCAAGGCGACGAUCCAUAGCUGGUCUGAGAGGAUGAUCAGCCACACUGGGACUGAGACACGGCCCAGACUCCUACGGGAGGCAGCAGUGGGGAAUAUUGGACAAUGGGCGCAAGCCUGAUCCAGCCAUGCCGCGUGAGUGAUGAAGGCCCUAGGGUUGUAGAGCUCUUUCACCGGUGAAGAUAAUGAUGGUAACCGGAGAAGAAGCCCCGGCUAACUUCGUGCCAGCAGCCGCGGUAAUACGAAGGGGGCUAGCGUUGUUCGGAUUUACUGGGCGUAAAGCGCACGUAGGCGGACUAUUAAGUCAGGGGUGAAAUCCCGGGGCUCAACCCCGGAACUGCCUUUGAUACUGGUAGUCUUGAGUUCGAGAGAGGUGAGUGGAAUUCCGAGUGUAGAGGUGAAAUUCGUAGA
rnacentral:rRNA from 1 species